rnacentral:rRNA from 1 species
UACGAAGGGGGCUAGCGUUGCUCGGAAUCACUGGGCGUAAAGCGCACGUAGGCGGAUUGUUAAGUCAGGGGUGAAAUCCUGGAGCUCAACUCCAGAACUGCCUUUGAUACUGAAGAUCUUGAGUUCGGGAGAGGUGAGUGGAACUGCGAGUGUAGAGGUGAAAUUCGUAGAUAUUCGCAAGAACACCAGUGGCGAAGGCGGCUCACUGGCCCGAUACUGACGCUGAGGCACGAAAGCGUGGGAAGCAA